AAUAACUUUAUUUUCCGUGUCCAACACUUUAUCAUUCGUCUUAUUUAAAAAAUUUGUACAAAAAAUUAAAAAAAUUAGUCACAUAUAAAGUACUAUUCAUAUUUUAUCAUCUAGUAAUAAUAAAAAUAUUAAUCACAAAAAAAUUCAAAUAAGACGAAUGAUCAAACGUUGAACACGGAAAAACGAAAAAUGAGGUUAUU
rnacentral:pre_miRNA from 1 species